UUCAGUACAGUUAGUUAACUAUGGAUUCAGUUUUCCUGUUUCCUUUCUCGAUUACAAUUAGGUUUUCUUAUUUCUUUUCUCAAUCACAAUUUUCUCCGGAUCUCUUGUUACAUCCGUCAAAGGCUCGUUCGCCGUUGAAGAUUGCUUCUGUCUAAGGUUCGCCGCUGUCAAAGACUCGCGUUGAAGGCUUUGCCGCACUCUGCCGUCGCUACCACAUCGUCAAAGGUUCUGAGAACACUUCUCGCCGGAAAGAGAAGCAAAUCUGCAACCAAAGUUUUUGCAGCGUCUUGGUGUUGAUUACAUUGAUCUCUAUUAUCAGCACAGAGUGGACCAAUCUACACCUAUAGAGGAUACAUUUGUUAUAUUUUAGGUGGCUGAACUCAAGAAACUGGUGGAAGAUGGUAAAGUGAAGUAUAUUGGAUUAUCUGAAGCGAGUCCAGAUACUAUAAGGAGAGCGCACGCAGUUCAUCCCAUCACAGCUGUGCAACUGGAGUGGUCUCUGUGGACUCGUGACGUUGAGGAAGAGAUAAUCCCACUCUGCAG